rnacentral:rRNA from 1 species
UGGUGACAAUGGCAAGGAGGUCACACCUGUUCCCAUGCCGAACACAGAAGUUAAGCUCCUUAGCGCCGAUGGUAGUCAGACUAACGUUCCGCUAGAGUAGGACGUUGCC